AGAGUUUGAUCAUGGCUCAGAUUGAACGCUGGCGGCAGGCCUAACACAUGCAAGUCGAGCGGAUGAAGGGAGCUUGCUUCCUGAUUCAGCGGCGGACGGGUGAGUAAUGCCUAGGAAUCUGCCUGGUAGUGGGGGACAACGUUCCGAAAGGGGCGCUAAUACCGCAUACGUCCUACGGGAGAAAGUGGGGGAUCUUCGGACCUCACGCUAUCAGAUGAGCCUAGGUCGGAUUAGCUAGUAGGUGGGGUAAUGGCUCACCUAGGCGACGAUCCGUAACUGGUCUGAGAGGAUGAUCAGUCACACUGGAACUGAGACACGGUCC
rnacentral:rRNA from 1 species